ensembl:lncRNA
CUGAAGCCUGUUUACAGAGUGCCAAGACGAGGUGCCGUCACUGAUGAAGUUCUGCUCCAUAUGCAGGCUGUCACUGAACGCACUGCAAAGGAAACCAGACUGGUGGACUUCAUUAUCCAGUCAAAGAGAGCUGAGCAGCAUUUGGUGGAUGUACUUAGUGGCAAACGCUCUGCUUGGAUUCAUCAGAAGUCUUGUUGCCAGAUGCUCGUCUACCUGGAUAGUGAAGAACAACAGGACAAGCUUUUUGCAUUCUAAAGACUGUACUGCACAGAGGACCAACACAACUGAGCUUCACAGAUGAAGUGCUGUUCAUCUGUCAUGUUCUCUUUCCAGAGGCCAUCAUAUAUGACCUGUCUAUGCAGGACAAUCUGUCCCUGCAGGAGGCUGAGCAGGUCUUCUUCAGUGGUCCAGCUUACCAUCAAAGGUGAGGGUAAAGAAUGGAUUUUUUUAAAAUUUACACAAUGCGCUAAAAUGUUUUAGUUUUUUAACUGUUUACUAAUACAAGUAGUUGCCACCUUUGUUAAAGUGUACCAAUGUUUGUGAAUGUAUCCUUUUUAAGUGUUACCAGUAUUUCUGUAAAGCCUGCAGUGAUAAUGUUGUCUCACUCUUUCAGUGAAGUGGAGGAAUUUUGUCAAAGGAUUAAAAAAGACCUGAAGAAAGAAGGCAGACUGUUCAGUUGGUAAGUGGUGCUCAUUUCAAAAGGAGGU